rnacentral:lncRNA from 1 species
CAGCACGGAGGCGGAGGCCGAGGGGGCUGUGCACAGGUCGCCGCGGAGAGGCGUGCGAAUUCCGAGCCGAGCGCCGAGGACCGUGCUACCCAGGCCGGGCUGCCAGCCGCAGGCUCCUCUCUGGCAGCAGCGGCGGCGCGGCGACCCCCGUCCCUCGGCCUCCCCUUCCCAUCCCACCUCCCGAGCCUUCCUCUUCCCGCAGCACGCCCGGCCCGGCCCGGCCGUGGCCCUCCUCAGUGCCGGCCGCCAUGGCAGAGGCGUCCGGCGCGGGGAAAAUCUAGCCCGGGGAUUUCAUGCGGCCUAGCUCGGUUCCGCCUCCUCCUCGCGCGGCCCCAGCGGCUGCCCGCACCCCAGCCCCACUCCGGGCCUCCGUGUCUCUCCUGUGAUCGCACUGACACGGCCGGGGGGUUAGAAUGGAACAAACUGAAGGGAUGCUCCUGAAACUGAAGACAACCAAGCCCGAUGAGAGAAAGGGAAAGUUAAGGAUGCUGGAGCAGAACAAUGGAUUUCUCUUUCUCUUUCAUGCAAGGGAUCAUGGGAAACACAAUUCAGCAACCACCUCAACUCAUUGACUCCG